AGAGUUUGAUCAUGGCUCAGAACGAACGCUGGCGGCAGGCCUAACACAUGCAAGUCGAGCGCGCCCUUCGGGGUGAGCGGCGGACGGGUGAGUAACGCGUGGGAACGUACCCUCUUCUGCGGAAUAGCCACUGGAAACGGUGAGUAAUACCGCAUACGCCCUUUUGGGGAAAGAUUUAUCGGAGGAGGAUCGGCCCGCGUUGGAUUAGGUAGUUGGUGGGGUAAUGGCCUACCAAGCCUACGAUCCAUAGCUGGUUUUAGAGGAUGAUCAGCCACACUGGGACUGAGACACGGCCCAGACUCCUACGGGAGGCAGCAGUGGGGAAUCUUAGACAAUGGGCGCAAGCCUGAUCUAGCCAUGCCGCGUGAGUGACGAAGGCCCUAGGGUCGUAAAGCUCUUUCGCCUGUGAUGAUAAUGACAGUAGCAGGUAAAGAAACCCCGGCUAACUCCGUGCCAGCCGCCGCGGUAAU
rnacentral:rRNA from 1 species